GAUGAAGAACGUAGCGAAAUGCGAUAAGUAAUGUGAAUUGCAGAAUUCAGUGAAUCAUCGAAUCUUUGAACGCACAUUGCGCCCCCUGGUAUUCCGGGGGGCAUGCCUGUUCGAGCGUCAUUUCACCACUCAAGCCUCGCUUGGUAUUGGGCAACGCGGUCCGCCGCGUGCCUCAAAUCGACCGGCUGGGUCUUCUGUCCCCUAAGCGUUGUGGAAACUAUUCGCUAAAGGGUGUUCGGGAGGCUACGCCGUAAAACAACCCCAUUUCUAAGGUUGAACUCGGAUCAGGUAGGGAUACCCGCUGAACUUAAGCAUAUCAAUAAGCGGAGGA
rnacentral:misc_RNA from 1 species